UUAGGUUUUCUUCAUUUUCUUCUGGGAUUCUUGUUGUUGAAGGUUGACGGGGAUGAUAUGAAGAUGAAAAAGAGGAGAAG
rnacentral:pre_miRNA from 1 species